AGAGUUUGAUCCUGGCUCAGGAUGAACGCUGGCGGCGUGCCUAACACAUGCAAGUCGAACGGACUUACAUUGAAGCCUAGCGAUAUGUAAGUUAGUGGCGGACGGGUGAGUAACGCGUGGGUAACCUGCCUUGUACUGGGGGACAACAGUUGGAAACGACUGCUAAUACCGCAUAAGCGCACAGCUUCGCAUGAAGCAGUGUGAAAAACUCCGGUGGUACAAGAUGGACCCGCGUCUGAUUAGCUGGUUGGUGAGGUAACGGCCCACCAAGGCGACGAUCAGUAGCCGGCCUGAGAGGGUGAACGGCCACAUUGGGACUGAGACACGGCCCAAACUCCUACGGGAGGCAGCAGUGGGGAAUAUUGCACAAUGGGGGAAACCCUGAUGCAGCGACGCCGCGUGAGUGAAGAAGUAUUUCGGUAUGUAAAGCUCUAUCAGCAGGGAAGAAAAUGACGGUACCUGACUAAGAAGCCCCGGCUAACUACGUGCCAGCAGCCGCGGUAAUACGUAGGGGGCAAGCGUUAUCCGGAUUUACUGGGUGUAAAGGGAGCGUAGACGGUUUUGCAAGUCUGAAGUGAAAGCCCGGGGCUUAACCCCGGGACUGCUUUGGAAACUGUAGAACUAGAGUGCAGGAGAGGUAAGUGGAAUUCCUAGUGUAGCGGUGAAAUGCGUAGAUAUUAGGAGGAACACCAGUGGCGAAGGCGGCUUACUGGACUGUAACUGACGUUGAGGCUCGAAAGCGUGGGGAGCAAACAGGAUUAGAUACCCUGGUAGUCCACGCC
rnacentral:rRNA from 1 species